UACGUAGGGGGCAAGCGUUGUCCGGAUUUAUUGGGCGUAAAGAGCGUGUAGGCGGCUAGGUAGGUCCGUUGUGAAAACUCGAGGCUCAACCUCGAGACGCCGGUGGAAACCAUCUAGCUAGAGUCCGGAAGAGGAGAGUGGAAUUCCUGGUGUAGCGGUGAAAUGCGCAGAUAUCAGGAAGAACACCCGUGGCGAAGGCGGCUCUCUGGUACGUGACUGACGCUGAGACGCGAAAGCGUGGGGAGCAAACAGG
rnacentral:rRNA from 1 species